AAUUUGGACAAAGGGGCCCAGCCUUAUCCCGGCAAUCCGCGUGGAUGAAGAAGGCCUUCGGGGUGUUAAGCCCUUUCGGACGGAAAGAAAUCGGGCAGGCUCAUACCCCGCGCGGGUGACGGUACCGGCCAAAGAAGGCCCGGCCAACCACGUGCCCACAGCCGCGGGAAUACGUAGGGUGCGCGCGUUAAUCGGAAUUACUGGGCGUAAAGCGUGCGCAGGCGGUUGAUUAAGACAGGCGUGAAAUCCCCGGGCUUAACCUGGGAACUGCGCUUGUGACUGGUCAGCUAGAGUACGGCAGAGGGGGGUGGAAUUCCACGUGUAGCAGUGAAAUGCGUAGAGAUGUGGAGGAACACCGAUGGCGAAGGCAGCCCCCUGGGCCGGUACUGACGCUCAUGCACGAAAGCGUGGGUAGCAAACAGG
rnacentral:rRNA from 1 species